rnacentral:piRNA from 1 species
UGAGAGCUACAAACCAAUCUCCGGAAU